GGGUCGAUGCCCGAGUGGUUAAUGGGGGCGGAUUGUAAAUCCGCUGGUUUACCUACACUGGUUCAAAUCCAGUUCGGCCCA
rnacentral:tRNA from 1 species